UCGAGAGGCUCCUUUUCGUCAUCCAUUCCGCCGCCAGUAGCUGUGGGUGCGCCAGAAUCUCAUUCCUUCGUUUGCAUCGAGUGGGUGUGUUCCCUUCCUUCCCCUCCACCUUCUCUGCCAUGGUUGCCGACCCAGUAUGAGUGUGGACCAGAGAAAGAUUGAGUCUUCGGUCCUUUGUUCUUCUCUGUCCAUUUCUUUUGUUCGUCGUCGGAAUGCACGAGUGGAGCUAGGCCAGCCGUUGAGUCCGUUGCUGGUGUUCGUGAUCGCUGUGAAACUGCCGCUAUCAAGGCCAAACUCGCAAACUCGUCCGCUCCCUUGUUCAUCCAUUGGUCUUGUCUUCAUGUAACGAUGAUGCCUGGAUCUCCUUGUUCCUCUGUUUCUCGUUGACAGAAUCCUCAUCUCCUCCCUUUGUUCGAGCUGCCAUGGUUUAUAGCGUCAGGAGAAUGGCGUUCAAAUCAUCAGAGAUGGCUGCUGGUGUGGCAUUGGAAGCUGGGGUCGUGUGAUUGUCUGAAGCUGCCGUCUUUGCCAUCGCGUCAUCGGUAGCAGAAGUUGUUCUCCAGGCAUCUGGUUCGCGGCGCCUGGGGAAGAAGGGAAUGGGUUACAUGAAUCAGAAACUGGGUCCUAAGGAUCCGGUUUCAUCCUGAUUUAAAAAAAGGUUUUGUAAAUUGCAUUCUUUAGUCCUAGAUUACAAUUACCUCCUUGGGCGCAUAAUUUCUACAAUUCUUACACUCACCCCAGGAAAUUCCUCAAAAUUGUAUCUACGUCCCUUAACUUUCAGAAUUGCGUUUUGUACCCAAAACUCUUCCAGAAUUAUCAAUUUACCCCUCGGCCCCUUUCAAGAUUCCA